UUGGAGGGCAAGUCUGGUGCCAGCAGCCGCGGUAAUUCCAGCUCCAAUAGCGUAUAUUAAAGUUGUUGCAGUUAAAAAGCUCGUAGUUGAAUUUCGGGAUCAAUGUUUCGGUCAUGCCGUUGGUAUGUACUGAUAUUAUUGAUUUCUCACCUUCUAAAGAACCGUAAUGCCAUUAAUUCGGUGUCACGGGGAAUUAGGACUGUUACCUUGAAAAAAUUAGAGUGUUUAAAGCAGGCUCACGCUUGAAUACAUUAGCAUGGAAUAAUGAAA
rnacentral:rRNA from 1 species